rnacentral:tRNA from 1 species
UGGGGUAUAGCCAAGCGGUAAGGCAACGGAUUUUGAUUCCGUCAGGCCUAGGUUCGAAUCCUAGUACCCCAGCCA